rfam:Salmo salar isolate Sally breed double haploid chromosome ssa22, whole genome shotgun sequence.
CCCUGUAGCUCAGUUGGUAGAGCAUGGUGUUUGCAACGCCAGGGUUGUGGGUUCGAUUCCCACAGGGG